AUCUACGGCCAUACCACCCUGAACGCGCCCGAUCUCGUCUGAUCUCGGAAGCUAAGCAGGGUCGGGCCUGGUUAGUACUUGGAAGGGAGAUCAAUUAUUUUUAACUUGUAAGUCCCUUGAUG
rnacentral:rRNA from 1 species